ensembl:lncRNA
AGACUGCCAGAGGAAGAGGAAGAGAGAGGGAAGUGGUGGGAGAAAGAGUGAAACAGACUGGCAGAGGAAGAGAGUGAAACAGACUGCCAGAGGAAGAGAGUGAAACAGACUGGCAGAGGAAGAGAGUGAAACAGACUGGAAGAGGAAGAGGAAGAGAGUGAAACAGACUGCCAGAGGAAGAGAGUGAAACAGACUGCCAGAGGAAGAGGAAGAGUGAAACAGACUGCCAGAGGAAGAGAGAAACAGACUGCCAGAGGAAGAGAGUGAAACAGACUGCCAGAGGAAGAGAGUGAAACAGACUGCCAGAGGAAGAGAGAGAAACAGACUGCCAGAGGAAGAGAGUGAAACAGACUGCCAGAGGAAGAGAGAGGGAAGUGGUGGGAGAAAGAGUGAAACAGACUGCCAGAGGAAGAGAGUGAAACAGACUGCCAGAGGAAGAGUAGA